rnacentral:tRNA from 2 species
GCAGUCGUGGCCGAGUGGUAAGUCGAUGGACUAGAAAUCCACUGGGGUCUCCCCGCACAGGUUCGAAUCCUGUCAACUGCG